rnacentral:rRNA from 1 species
UUCUUUUGAGAGAUUAGUUGGUUGUUUCUUGCCUUUAUUUAUGGAAAAUUGAUAUUUUAAGUAAAAAAUUGUCUUUUGGGUGGGUAAGUAAUAUAAUAAAAAUUCACUAUUAUUAGGUUAUAGUUUAGUUUGUACUGUGUAGGAUAGCUAGUUUAGUCAAUGUAAAGAAAAUUUUAAGUAUUGUACCUUUUGUAUCAGGGAUGAUCAAAGUAUUUAGUUUAUUAAUUAUAGUCUCGAAGUGAAAUGAGCGAGUAAACUACGGUUGUUUAUGUAGAACAAUGAAACUAUUAAUAGUUUGCUAGUGAUGAGAUGUCAGUCGACUUUUAUAUAUCUAGUUUUUCUUGAAAAAAAUUUAAUUUUAUCUUUUACCGAAAAAGGUAAAGGCUUUACCGCAAGGGGGAAGAGCUCCUUGGGGAUUCAUGGGUAUAACGGAUAAAUCAUAUUUUCUUUUUUUUUAGGCUUAAGAUCAGUCAUUUUUCUAAAUCGUUCUAGAUAAUAAGGGUUUAAAGAUUAAUUUAUAUUUCGUUUGCUUUCAGUAGGGAAAAUUUAAUUUUAGCUUGUUUAUGUUAUAUUAUAAUGUUUGUAUUAGUAAAUUGUGUUAUGUGAACUAGUUAUUUAAAUUUUAUAAAAAAAUUUUAUAGUUCAGUUAAGCAAAGUUGAAGAAUUCGGCAAAUUUUGCUUCUGCCUGUUUAUCAAAAAACAUGUCUGCACGGGUGGAUUGAUGUGCAGUCUGGCCUGCCCCCUGAAAUUUUUAAAGGGCCGCGGUAUUUGGACCGUGCUAAGGUAGCAUAAUAAAUAGUCUUUUAAUUGAAGUCUAGUAUGAUCGGCCGGACAUGAAGUAAGCUGUUUUAACUUUGAUGUUUGAAUUUUACUUUUAAGUGAAAAGGCUUAAAUUAAAUGGUGGGACGAUAAGACCCUAUAAAGCUUUACAUUUUACUUCUCAGUUGUGGGAUUUAAAGUUUCUUAUUCUUAUGGGGUAGAAUGUUUCGUUGGGGCGACGGGAAUAUAAAAAUAAAUAACUGUUUUUGUAUAAAAAAUACGUUUUUGUAGUUGAGUUGAUCCUUCUCUGAAGAUUACAAGAUUUAAGUUACUUUAGGGAUAACAGCGUAAUUUAUCUUGAGAGUUCAUAUCGACAGAUAUAGUUGCGACCUCGAUGUUGAAUUAAAAUAUCCUCCAGGUGUAGCAGUUUUGGUGGUGGGUCUGUUCGACCUUUAAAAUUUU